ACAUAGCAACCUUACUGUGACCACAAGAAUGAAUGACAAACUAAGGAUGCUGAGUCAGGAGCCUGGAUCCUUGAGGACAUCUUCAAGCAGUGGUUCAGUCCUGAGCUGUCUAACUCUGGAUUUCUUGGAAUAGGGGGAAAAAUACCCAUUUUGUGUAAGGCACAAAGUUAAUUGGGUUUCCAGUAUAAUCUGUUCUUUUUUUUUUUUUAAGAUUUUAUUUAUUUAUUCAUGAGACACACAGAGAGAGGGAGAGACACAGGCGGAGGAGAAACAGGCUCCCUGCAGGGAGCCCGAUGCGGGACUCAAUCCCAGGACUCCAGGAUCACAUCCUGAGCCGAAGGGAGAUGCUCAGCCACUUUGCCACCCAGGCGCCCCAAGUAGAACCUAUUCUUAAGUUCCACAAGAGAGAGGCCUAAGAAGACAGACGCUAUAUUGCUUCAUUACAAGGGCUUCCAAUUGCUCGAGUGACUAAUUAGAAAAAUGAAAGAAACAUGCUCAUGUUUGUAACCAAUUAUGUGGAUCAUGCAGUUUUAGGCAUUAUCUCAUCAUUCCCAAAAUAGCACUAUGACAGAAGCAAGGCAGCCCCAAUCAACACUUGAUACUUUUGGAGACUAAAGCCCAGAGAUACUCAGCAAGGAAUUUUCUAAUUAUAAAGUAAUACACAUUCAUCAUACACUCAGUAGAAAACAUAGAAAAGUAUAAGAAAUUACUUGAAAUCUCCCUCCCCACCACAGAAUAUUUCCAUGCAUUUCUGGUCUUUUUCUUUUUUCUCUUGUGCAAGCACACAUCAAUACACACACUUCUGGAGUUUUUGUUUUUUUCUUAAGUGAUUUUCCAAAGGUCACACAGAUUGCUAUUGUGGAAACCAGGAUAGAAGCUGGGAUUAUGGUGUCAGGACUAAGAACAAUCAUUUUGCUUAAGAGAUAGUAGACUGUGGCAUAACUUGCUGGUGUCUACUCUUCAAAGAAUGAGAAGAGAGAGGAUCCAGAGAAGGCUGAAGAACGCCAUCCAAGGACUGUGUCAUACCAAAGGACGUGCAAUGCCUGGAUCUCCUGCUUGUGUUGAAUUAGCUGGCAGAUGCCCAAUGACGAUGGCUGGCAGGUAGGUGCCUGGUGGAUAUGGAUGGGGCAGGAGGGGUGUCUGCCAGUAGUCAGCUGCCUUGUUGUAGAG
rnacentral:lncRNA from 12 species